rnacentral:rRNA from 1 species
UACGUAGGGUGCAAGCGUUAAUCGGAAUUACUGGGCGUAAAGCGUGCGCAGGCGGUUUUGUAAGUCUGUCGUGAAAUCCCCGGGCUCAACCUGGGAAUUGCGAUGGAGACUGCAAGGCUAGAAUCUGGCAGGAGGGGGUAGAAUUCCACGUGUGAGCAGUGAAAUGCGUAGAGAUAGUGGAGGAACACCGAUGGCGAAGGCAGCCCCUGGGUCAAGAUU